GUUGUUGCAGUUAAAAAGCUCGUAGUCGAACUUAUGGCCUCGUGAACCCUUCCCAUCCUCUAGUAGGUUGCGAGAAGGUGUGCAUGGGUCAUUCUUCUGAAAAGUAUUGCUGCCCUUGAUUGGGUUUUGCUCUAUAAUUCAGAUCAUUUACUGUGAGUAAAUCAAAGUGUUCAAAGCAGGCUUUAAAGCUUGUAUGGUUCAGCAUGGAAUAAUAAGAUAAGACUUCGGUUUUGUUUUGUUGGCUAUAGAACCAAAGUAAUGAUUGAAAGGGAUAGUUGGGGAUGCUAAUAUUCGGUGGUCAGCGGUGAAAUGCGAGGACCCAUUGAAGACUAACUUAUGCGAAAGCAUUCAUCAAGGAUAUCUUCUUUGAUCAAGAACGAAAGUUGGGGGAUCGAAGACGAUCAUAUACCGUCGUAGUCUCAACCAUAAACUAUGCCUACUGAGGAUUGGCAGUCGUUGUUACUUGACCCUGUCUGCACUCUAUGAGAAAUCAAAGUCUCUGGGUUCUGGGGGGAGUAUGGUCGCAAGGCUGAAACUUAAAG
rnacentral:rRNA from 1 species